rnacentral:rRNA from 1 species
UGACGUCNAAUCAUCACGGCCCUUACGUCUUGGGCCNACACACGUGCUACAAUGGCCGGUACAGAGGGCAGCUACCUAGCGAUAGGAUGCAAAUCUCGAAAGCCGGUCUCAGUUCGGAUUGGAGUCUGCAACUCGACUCUAUGAAGCUGGAAUCGCUAGUAAUCGCGCAUCAGCCAUGGCGCGGUGAAUACGUUCCCGGGCCUUGUACACACCGCCCGUCAAGCCAUGGAAGCUGGGGGUACCUGAAGUCGGUGACCGUAAAAGGAGCUGCCUAGGGUAAAACUAGUAACUAGGGCUAAGUCGUA